ensembl:lncRNA
UCAUCAGCACUAGUGUAUAAAGCUUCAGGAAGAACUGGUGAGGAGCUGAUCAUUUGUAUCUGGGAGAACUUAAACAUCAACAAACACACACAAGCCUUUGUAAAGAUGCUCUAACUUAUACUAUUGUUUAUUUAAUCCGAGGAAGAGACUCAAACCUUAAAAUGGCCCUUAAUCCAUUCCAGGGAGGUUUGUGCUGCCUCAGCACAGGAGAGCCCGCCCCUCAAAGAGGAGUGUUUGGAAAAGUACCAGAGACGACGUGGGGGAGACACCGUCACCCUCCCUUAAUGGAGCCAGUCAAUCAACAACAUUUAAAAGUCAAAGAGCUCCGACGGCUGGGACGAUUCAGCUACCUUUCAGACUACCCUGGCAACGUGUUUUUUCCACAGCACAUAGAAACAAAUCUAGCCAUUUAAAAAUAUAUAUUUGGCACCUUUGAGCAACUUUUGUAAAGUGACUCGAAUGCUAAAUUGCACCCAUUUUCCCUUCAAAUGACACAAACACAAUAUGUGCUUGGCUGCAAAAGUGCAUUGUGCGUGACUUGAACAGCAGGCGCUCAGCUCGUGCACAACAGCCUGGAGACAGCUGGAAAGAGAUGCCUAGUGCACACAUCAUCAUCAUUAUUUGAGUUAAGUUGCUUGUUGAAUAAAAUAGCAUAUAUCUUAUUAGCGUGUGCCUAUAAUUGUUGAUCAGUUUGGUAUCAUGUUGACGAACUACCAAUAGACUACCAAUAAUACUAUAAUUGUUAAAAAUGUGUAGGUUUACUAGUUGAUAAGAAAAUAAAUGUUUAUUUUAUGCCGAGAUGGAGAUGGAAAAAUUAGUAAUAAUGAUAUUAUAUUUGUGUGUAUAUAUGACAAAACCUCAACACAAAGUGUUGUCUUGUCAUGUCUUGAGUCCUUAUGACUUUCUACACUUAUACAACAUAUACUAAUAACGUUGUAGAGACCCUGUUUGCUUCUCAAAGUUAGGUCCUCC